rnacentral:rRNA from 1 species
GAUGAACGCUGGCGGCGUGCCUAAUACAUGCAAGUCGAGCGAACAGACGAUGAUCUUGCUCCUCUGACGUUAGCGGCGGAGGUGUGAGUAACACGUGUAUAACCUACCUAUAAUACUGGGAUAACUUCGGGAAACCGGAGCUAAUACCGUAUAAGAUAUUGAACCGCAUGGGGCGAUAGUGAAAUACGGUGUUUGGGGCACUUAUAGAUGGAUCCGCGCCGCAUUAGCUAGUUGGUAAGGUAACGGCUUACCAAGGCAACGAUGCGUAUCCGAACUGAGAGAGUGAUCGGCCACACUGGAACUGAGACACGGUCAAGACUCCUACGAGAGGCCGCAGUAGGGAAUCUUACGCAAUGGGGGAAAGCCUGACGGAGCAACGCCGCGCGAGUGAUGAAGGUCUUCGGAUCGUAAAACUCUGUUAUUAGGGAAGAACAAAUGUGUAAGUAAAUAUGCACGUCUUGACGGUAACUAAUAAGAAAGCAACGGCUAACUACGUG